UAUAGGGACUUGUUCAGUUCCAUGUGGAAUCGGAAGUACAGCUACGUUUCCUGACAUCUCCCUCUAAGCCAUGGAUGGGCCUCUUGUAAUUCUGCACACUGAGCUUUGCUGUGGCUAAAAACUUCUGACUACAUCGCAACAAGAUCUAAUCUUUCCUCCUCCACACAUUUCUGAACAGACAGUCAGCAGAUUAAGGCAAACUCUACCAGCAAUGAGUGUCUUCAUGUUUAAAGUUGCAAGGUGACAAGAAGGAUACUGAAGCUGUCAUCAUUGCCAAGAGGAGUCCAAAUGUAUCAGUAUGAAACUACUUCUCCAACCAAAGAAGUUCAGCUAUUUUAACUACCAUUUAAAUAACGAAAAUAUACACAACCAGGGCCAGCCGAGUGGCGCAUUGGUUAAGAGCUGGCUUGAGACGCCAGCUCUGAACAGCAGGACCCUGGU